rnacentral:lncRNA from 1 species
UUGAGGGGGGGGGUUAUGAUUAUAUGAAUAUAAUAAAAAAGAACAAACAAACAAUCAAACAAACAACUGACUGACUCUUGCAACGUGUUGGUUUCCUUUCAUCGUGCUCGCAGUAGAACCCAUAACCCCUGAACUAGGAUUUGACUUUCCUUCAUAGGAUUCCGAACAGCUUUACCGUGAGUAAGAAUUGAUGGAGUGUCUUAUUAGUGCAGCUCUGU